UCCCUUUUAGCUCAGUUGGUAAAGAAUCUGCCUGUAAUGCAGGAGACCCAGGUUUGAAUCCUGGGUUGGGAA
rnacentral:tRNA from 1 species